rnacentral:rRNA from 1 species
AUUGAACGCUGGCGGCAGGCCUAACACAUGCAAGUCGAGCGGAAACGAGUUAACUGAACCUUCGGGGAACGUUAACGGCGUCGAGCGGCGGACGGGUGAGUAAUGCCUGGGAAAUUGCCCUGAUGUGGGGGAUAACCAUUGGAAACGAUGGCUAAUACCGCAUAAUAGCUUCGGCUCAAAGAGGGGGACCUUCGGGCCUCUCGCGUCAGGAUAUGCCCAGGUGGGAUUAGCUAGUUGGUGAGGUAAGGGCUCACCAAGGCGACGAUCCCUAGCUGGUCUGAGAGGAUGAUCAGCCACACUGGAACUGAGACACGGUCCAGACUCCUACGGGAGGCAGCAGUGGGGAAUAUUGCACAAUGGGCGCAAGCCUGAUGCAGCCAUGCCGCGUGUAUGAAGAAGGCCUUCGGGUUGUAAAGUACUUUCAGCAGUGAGGAAGGUGGUAGUGUUAAUAGCACUAUCAUUUGACGUUAGCUGCAGAAGAAGCACCGGCUAACUCCGUGCCAGCAGCCGCGGUAAUACGGAGGGUGCGAGCGUUAAUCGGAAUUACUGGGCGUAAAGCGCAUGCAGGUGGUUUGUUAAGUCAGAUGUGAAAGCCCGGGGCUCAACCUCGGAAUUGCAUUUGAAACUGGCAGACUAGAGUACUGUAGAGGGGGGUAGAAUUUCAGGUGUAGCGGUGAAAUGCGUAGAGAUCUGAAGGAAUACCGGUGGCGAAGGCGGCCCCCUGGACAGAUACUGACACUCAGAUGCGAAAGCGUGGGGAGCAAACAGG